CUCGGCCUCGGCCCCCGGGCUGCCCAGCUCCUCGCUGCUCUCUGCCGGGCGCCCGCAGUCCAUCGGGGGAGCGUCCUGCAAGCAACAAGAGCAUCUCUGAGAGCAGAGUAUGAAUGAUCAUGGGGAGGAUCAUCCAGCACCAUAUUCAGCAAGGCUAUGUUUGCUGAAACUGAUACUCAGCAAGCAAACAAGAAUUAGGUUGCCCAGAGGUAACGUAUUUCCCCACCUCCCUCUCAAAUAAGUGAGCUAUAUUUUGUAACGUGAAGUGUAUGACUACACAGCUUAUGUUUGGGGUAUACAGAUUAUAGUCUCAGUACCAUUUUGCCCCAAAAUCCUGUCAUAUAAUAGGCCAUAAUAAUUCUAUUUAUUAUAAUGCUAGCUAGAGUCAUAUAAACAAAAACCCAGUAUACAUGCAGAACAUGCACAUUCAUAUCUGUUAUCAAAUAUCCAUUAUCCUGUGUAGAUUUCAGACCACACACAUCAUCACAACUCAGGGCAUUGAUAAAUAUUUAAUUAAUUAAAUACCAUGCUCAUACAAGCAUCUGCCUAAGAAGAGGGAGAACUAACACUGUUCACUGCAAGUUCCUUCCUUUGGACUGGAACUUGAAAUAUACAUGAUGUGCACGGUGGCAGCAGAGUGGCUCAUGUUUAGUUGCCACAAUCCAGAGUAUUUAUUACAUGCUGACUGUAUAAUUUAAAGAUAUUUCCACAUUGCUAAUCCCAUAACAUAGAAUGGAGGGACAAAAGGUGACUUUCCCACUACAUUCUGAAUUGCUAUAAAUACCUACCACAGUAUUUAAUUCCAUGAGUAAGGCAAUGUGGGCAGAAACUGCUGGUUACAGAAUAAGUUUACAACAUCAAAAUUUCAACAACUUCUCUACUCAGGGAACAUUAAUAAUGGUGUAUCCCAUUGGAAGGUAUUAGGUAUCUUUAAAAUAGUUAAGUGAUUUGGUUUCUUUUAAUUACUUCCUGCCAAUAUCCAUAAUUUUCUCUGAAUGUCCAAAAUUAACUUAAAAUUCAAUAUAAAAUUGCUAUUGUUUUUAUAUCAUCAAAAAGGGAAGAUUAAUGACAUAUUUAGUAAUCUAGUAAUAAGUGGCUUUUUUCAUUGUUCAAGCUGCAUGCAAUCCUCAGUGGAUCUUAGAUGUACAUUAGAAAGGUAUUUAAUGCCUAUUUUUCAGUUGCCAAGGUCAAACAUCACCUAGUAUGUAUAGGGAAAGAGGAAACAUCUGUUGGAAUAAUUUAUUUGACUAACACAGAGGUUAGGAUUAAAACCCACUAAUUUCUUUGGUCCGAUACUGAAUUUCAAUUAAACAAUACAGGUAUUUGUUCAGUUUGAAAAAAAUUGCUUCCUUUAUUUGUGAGCACAUUCAUGUAUAUCCCUAAUUAGUGGAUCUGGCAAGGGAAUACUAUGAUUUGUCAUUUUUUCAUAUCUGCAUAAGCUUUGAGAAUGCAUAUUUCUAUUUUUUGAGGUUUUGGGUUUUUUUCCCAAUAUAUGUUCUAAAGAAUUCACAAAACUUUAAAACUCUGGUUUCUAUGGAAUUCCUCUACUAAGAAGAUUAGAACACAUCUCAGGAUCAGUGAUUACAUGUGAAAUUGUAAAAGAGCAACCUUCAGCAUCUAAGAUAGAAGUUCCAUUUAGAAGUUUUUAGAAAAUUUUAAAUGCAUGUCAUCUGACUGCAGUUUCUUCUAACCUUUCUGUGAAAUCAGACUAAAAUCAUCUAGAUUAACAGUAAAAAAAAUCACUUAAAUUGUUUAAUUUACAAAUGUAAAUUAAUAAAAAUAUAGACAUUUUAUUUCAAUCAAGUAAGGAAGGUGCUCUCUUUGCCUUUCUAGGGUCAAAAAGGAUUUCAACAGAGCCAUGAUUGUAUUCCAGAUUUUUAAUACUGAGAAAAUAUUUGCCAAGCAAAGAAGCUCAACAACUGGACAGCUUUUUACCAUUGUAAAGCAGAAUCAGAAUGCUUUGUCUCAAAGGGAAUAGCAGAAGGUCUUACAGGAGAAAAGAUAUUGUACAUGCAUGUUCCAUUCUUUGUUAGGACUAAGGGGAAUGGUAAAUGCAAAACACAGUUUUACUCAGCCUGGCCCAAAAGACAGGAUGCUAACAGAGAUGACAUGCAAGGUGACAGAACACUGAGCAUGUGGAUAAACCCAUCUCAAAAUAGAAUUUUAAAAAUCCCAACAUUUAUAUGGCAUGAGUAUUAGUCUGUAUCCCUCUAAAUUUCAGAAGCCUGUGCUAUUCACUGGAAAAGAAUUAGUUUAAAACUAACAAUAUUAGUUUUUAUAAUAAUGAAUACAUUGUUCCUGCAGUUCUUGUUUUUAACUGCUCCACUGCUUUGUGCUUUCUGAGAAAGAAAAAAAGUUCAAUAACAGGUACAUAUAUGACAAAUUCAGUUUCUCUUUUAGACCAGAAUAUGCCCAUUGCCAUGUGAUGAACAAAAACUAUUAUUUGAAAGAGAGCAGCUUUGUGAUUUGCAAUUCUUCCCUUCUCAACAGAAAGGCAGCUAUUUUUAAUCAGAACAAAUAAUCAGAAAAAACAAAGCUCAUAGAAUGGAAAGUGGUAAGGUGUCAAAAAUGAAAUAGCAUUAAACAUUGCUGAGUUAAAUUGUCAAACAUACUAAUAAAUUCUAACUUGAAUGUAAAAUAGAAUACUACAUUUACUAAUUUAAUUACAAAAAACCACCCAUGUCAGUUGCGUGCAUUUAUUAAUUUUAUCGACAGCAUUGUGUAAAUUAUGGAGGUUUUUUUUGUUGGCUAGUUCAGCUGAUAAGUAAUAAAACUAUUAGGAUAAAAAUAUCAUUAAAAAUCUGGAAGGAGUGAUAUUAGGUCCCAAAUACUUGACUAUACUAUUGCCACAGGUGAUACUGGAGCAUGGCUGUCAGAAGUAAGCUGUAAUGAUGAAAACUGAUUGUUUCUCCUUCUCCAGAUAAUUCCGUUCACAGCAUCACCUUUCACCAAUAGUCCUCACACCUUAACUUACUUGUGAGAAUUAACUUCAACAUUAUUUUACCUUUGUGGAAAAUGAUUACAAUAAAAUGCAUAUGACAGAAACUAGUAACAUUAAAGUUACUGCUAUUAGCUAGUCCACUGAUUUGUAACCAGAAACUGAAAUAUAUUAUCCUGCCUUUCAAAGAAAUAAAGACAAUAAAUAUAACAUGGUUAAAAAAAUUAUUUCAGACAAGCAGUAACCAACUUAAUUAAAAGGAAGUUUUUUGAGAAACACACCCGAGUUUUCAUCUGACUCCUUCUUUCACGGAUUCUUGGCAGAGGUUUUCUUUCAACUUUCUGCUUGUGAGCCAAAUCUAAAAAAUCUGUGUUUUCUUUCACAGAGUGACUGGGGUGAAAAGGAACUGUGCGAAAAGGUGCUUCUAAGUCAGCUGCAGAAAAAAAAAGAAAAAAAGGAUUAAUUCAAUAUCCCAAGUCAAACCAUAUAUAUUCAGUGUGAUUGAUCACAAGGUUCCAAUAUAUCUUGUUACAGAAAACAGUGUAAUGAACCUCAAGGGAUUCUGCAAAAGAGAACAUUUUCUGUGAUACAAAGUGAACUAAAGGACUAUACAAAGUUGUAGGUUUUCCUUGUAUGUGUGAGAAGCUUGAGGAAUUCAAGACAAUAGAAAACUAGAGAGCAGAAGUCUGGUUCUGUGAGGAUCAAAAUGGAUAAAACAAUGCAAGAAACUCUAAGGACUAGUCCACAUGAAGAAUUGUUAAUAAUUCUCGUAAUUCUAUUCAGCAAAGCUUAAUCAAUUCCAUGUUAUUCCUGCAGUUGAGCAGACCUGCUCAGACACAGAGGAUACUGGUUUUUCCUUUAAGAUACUGAAAAUGCUGUCUCCAAACUGGCAUCCUCCUUCUUAAAAUUAAUUGGUUCUUUGGCUAUGACAAUUUUCUUUUAAGAUCAUCACAACAGAAAUAUAUUUUAUUUAUAAGAAAGAAAGAGCCAAUAUAAAUUUUUUUUGUAAUAUGUUUUAUUGAGAAAUUGAUUCCUUUUAAAAAGGGAAGAUUUGGGGAGAUUGUCUAUUUGAAAAAAAGUUUUUUGCAUUUUGAUGUAACCAGCAUAUUCAAUAUGAAUUUAAUUACUCAGCAAAAGCCUACAUGAAUUGUGUUUUGAUGUAAAUUCAAUCACAGCUGCCAGCCAGGACUUGAAAUACAAAGAAAUGGUUCUGUAGUAAAUAAGAAGGGCAUCACUCAACAUUUUUUAAUAUUAUAGUGUAAAAAAUUGAAGAGUCCAAAUAGAGUAAAUUCAUCUAGAUAACUGAUAGGUUAUGCAUACAAUACUACAAUCUCCUCAUUAGUACAGAGAAUUGCCAAAUUCUCUCAACAAUCUGCUAAUCUGUUAAAAAUAUGUUGUGUUCUCAGAAGUAAUAAGAAUAGUUAUUUUAAUAAUUACUAACCAAUGAAAGUUAAGUUUACUAAGGAAAUAAAAUGUUUAUGCAAACCAGAAAUGAAAGAGUUUAUUUCAAUCAAGACUUUGUCUUGGUGAUUUGGGUUACUAUUUAAGCCAAUUAAUUUCAGUAUUAAUUAAUAAAAUUAUAAAUUUUUACAUCCUAGGUAAAUGCUUCUCCACUUUUAGUCUCAGUAGGAUUUUUAUAUGAGAAAAGACAGCAUGCUUGACAAGCCAGAUUUAGUAACUGCAGAAGUAAAAUUUCUUUUUACUUACGUAUUUAGUGAUAAAGAUGACUGUGGCUAAUUCCUGAACACCCAUACUUAAUGUAACAAAUAUUUACUUUAAUACCUUCAUAUGUUUAAGUCGAUUGUCGACUGCUUUAAGAUAAGAAAGAUUUUCCAAAACUGCCAGUUCUUCUAAUUCAUCAAUGUUGUUAUUGCUGAUAUUCAAUACGGACAAAGAUUUCUGAAGGAAGAAAAGCAGAAAAAGAAAUAUUUUUUUCAUGCCAUGUAUGAGUCAAGCUGUAAAUUAUUACAGAAAAUUAUCUUAAAAGAUGAACAAACAUAUGAAGAAGAAACAUGCAAACACCACCUCCACACACCAUACAGAUUGUUUUAUGUUGGCGUUCCACCUUGUCCUAAAAUGUAAUUUAUUUUGGUUUUGAAGUGAAACUAAAGUAAGAUUGUUUCUCAAUUAUUUCAGAAAUUCUUAGUAAAUACAGAAAUUUUGGGUUUUUUAAAACACGUUCAAAUUCCUUACAGAGUUCUGUAAGUGCUACAAACUCUACUUCUGAAGUAUGAAACAUACAUUGAAUCUGACUGCAUUUUUAUAGAAUCAUAGAAUGGUUUGGGUUGAAAGGGACCUUAAAGAUCAUCUAGUUCCAGCCCCCUGCCAUGAGCAGGGACACCUUCCAUGAGACCAGGUUGCUCAGAGCUCCAUCCAAGCUGGCCUUGAACACUUCCAGGGAUGGGCCAUCCACAGCUUCUCUGUGCAAUCUGUUCCAGUGUCUCACCACAGCCACAAGCAGAGAAUUUCUCCUAAUAGCUAAUGUAAACCUGCCCUUGAUCAGUUUCAGGCCGUUAUGCUGUGUCCUGUCACAACACACCCUUGUAAAAUUGCCUCUCCAGCUUUCUUAUAAGCCCCCAUUGGGUACUGGAAUGGUGAUUUAAGGUGUCCUUGGAACCUUCUCUUCUCCAGGCUGAACAACCCCUACUCUCUCAGCCUGCCUUUAUAGGAGAGGCCUUUGAUCCUCUCUGUGGCCCUCUCUGGACUUGCUCCAGCAGGUCCAUGUUCUUCUUGUACUGUGGGCCCCAAGAUUGCAUCUGAACUGCAGAGCUGAAGCCCCUAUGUGCUACCCACACAGUCUCAUUUAACAGCUGGACUACACUGCUUUUCUUCCAGGCUUGAUCCUACAAACCUCUUGGUAUCCAUACCUCUGAUCCUUACCCCUUCUCUGGAACACUACUGAGCCACAUAUUGCACUUUGCCAUUUGUAACAGACAAUAGUUAUAGAGAUCUUUACAUUUUAGAUAAAAAUCUAAAUGUGUUUUAGGUGUUUAUCUCAGGAAAUACUAAUGUAGUUUCACAGAAAAGGAAGAAGUUUAUAGCUCUAGAAAAUGACAAGGAACUCCUAAUCCAAUGAGUUUAGGAUUAUACAAGAUAUAAGAUUUACCAUUAUUUGGAAAAUCUCUAUUUCAGCAGUUUAUACAGGAAAACGAACCCCAUUCAAAAAUUUAUACAGGAAAACGAACCCCAUUCAAAAAUUUGACCAAGAUCUACAUUGCAGGUGGAAAUUACCAGUAUCAUCCUGACAAACACAGCUCAUAAUCUUCUCAGAUUAAUGACAUUGUCAUCAUCCAAACAUUUGCCUGUGGUACACACAGAGCUAUAUGGCUUCAUGAUUUUAUCUCUUUUAUCUCUGACACCAUUAAAAGAGGCAGAAACAGAUUAAGAGGUAAAAAGUGAUGCCUUAAAAAGGCUCAAAACACUUAGCACUUAAAGGAUAAAAUAGAAUAUUUUUACAUUUAGCCUCCACAAAGAUGUUGCAUAGUCAAGAAUGCAAAGUUGUUUCAUAGAAAACAAAACAAACCCCACAUCAAAAGGCCUUAAAUAAAAUCUACAAAGAACAAAAUCUAGACCAGGCUGCUGAAAAACAUGGAAGAAUUUAUUAUAUGUUAUUAUCCUGGGAAGAUUACAGCUGUAAAACUUCCCUUUACUUGAUAAUUUCUCCAAUAUAGAAGGAACAUAGUACAAAUGCUCUCAUAGUAAUGAUUCAUUUCUAGUAAAGAAAAACAGCAAUGCAUGUCUUGGAUUACAUAAUCUCAAAACAGGAAAAAAUAGAGCUAGGUCAAAUAUUUAUGAUAUACAUGUGAACAAAAGAACUCACUUUUAGUGAGUUUUUCAUCUUCACAAAAAAAAGGCUUAUCAAGCCCUGACUACACUAUGGGAGAUACAGCAAGAGGAAUUUUUAUAGUGCAGAACUACAUCCAUUAGCAAAUAAAUCCUACUUUUUAACCUCUUCAACGAUAUGUUUUAUGAGCAAUUAACAUGUUGAAAGACAACUUCAAAGAGAUUUCCUGAACUCUUGACAUAACACAACAUAGAAGAACUGCAGAACUAAAACGGAAUGCUUUUGAUUGUGUUGUUCUUAAUAUCCAGGAAGAAAAAUCUGUUUGUGCCUUUUUUUUCAUUCCAUUUUUCUACAGAAUACAAAAGGCAAUAAAUAAACAACUAUACCAAUCAAAUCACUGAAAUGUUAACAAACUAAUUCACUACAAAUGAAACAGACUAAGAAAAUUAAGUGAUAAAUUCCAACCCCCUUUUUUAGUUAUUCACAUUUUGCUGGUAUAGGGCAUCCACAUACAUCCUUAUUUCCUCUCUCUCUUGAUUCUCAUUUCUAUCCUUCGUAAUGGAAAAAAGAUGAAGUAGAAUUUGCUGGAUGCCUUAUAAGAGAAUUAGGGUGGGAGUCUCUUGGUAGAAUUUGAAAUAAUGCCACCAAUUGGCAAAGGAGGAAAACACAGAAUGAUCAACCCCUAGUCAUUUCUUCUAAAAAUACUGAUCUCCUGAUAAUUGGCUCAUUUUAAUUCUCAAAAUAUACUUACUGCCAGGGAGUUAAGAGAUACUGGAUCAAACAGAAGCUUUUCACCAACAGGGAGAUGUUGACU